GCCAUCUUGAGUGGUCAGCAACACCAUGCUGACUAUUCAAGAUGGCAUCUGCACGUGCUCAGACACCAUUUCCUUCCUGACACCGCCCACAGGCUCCUGGGAACAAGGAACUUCCUGUUCCCAAGCAAGAUGCAGCCAGGCAGCCUGGUUUUUCACAAUGGACAGCCCAGCUGCUUAAUAGGAACAGUGCCACAUUGGGGCAGCGGAGGAGCAAGGAAGGGCCAGACAUGUUUGCAGCUGAAAUCCUUGAGGGAUGAAAUCUUCGAGAGGGCACCAGUCCAGGAGGGAAGGAGAAAACAGCUCUCAAAAAGACACUGCGGUCAAGAUACCACACAGAGAGAUUGAUGCAGCUGAGUGAAAGCUUGGCUUGUUAUGGCAUACAUCUGAGGAAAAAUUGAAUUUGUAGCCUGUCAAGCCUACUGAGAGGCGAAAUUAGUAGGCAUGAAUUGUGUCAGCAUCAGUUCAGAAAGCAGGAAACUGAGGAUACCGGACUAUGGGAUAUUCUGAAUGUCUAGUAACCCAAGGACAAACUACUUCAGCAAACCAUAUUAAAAAUACUUUGGCACAUCAAAUUCAA